UAUUCUCAUUGAAAUGCUUUAUUAUUAACACAGUGGAUUUGACUGAGAUGAAAACAACAAAAAUCCUCAAUAUAAAUUACAAUUAUUUCACUGUGGAGAUCUGGAUUUGGAUUCAUGCUCAAUAUGAAGGUGGAAAAUAACAUGACAGGCUGAUGCAACAUCAGUGAACUUUCCUCAGUCUAAAUGAGGCUCAGCAGUGUGUGUGGCCUCCAUACAACUAGUGAACU